rnacentral:rRNA from 1 species
AGGCGUGCGAUACAGGGUGACAGCCCCGUACACAAAAAUGCACAUACUGUGAGCUCGAUGAGUAGGGCGGGACACGUGGUAUCCUGUCUGAAUAUGGGGGGACCAUCCUCCAAGGCUAAAUACUCCUGACUGACCGAUAGUGAACCAGUACCGUGAGGGAAAGGCGAAAAGAACCCCGGCGAGGGGAGUGAAAAAGAACCUGAAACCGUGUACGUACAAGCAGUGGGAGCACGCUUAGGCGUGUGACUGCGUACCUUUUGUAUAAUGGGUCAGCGACUUAUAUUCUGUAGCAAGGUUAACCGAAUAGGGGAGCCGAAGGGAAACCGAGUCUUAACUGGGCGUUAAGUUGCAGGGUAUAGACCCGAAACCCGGUGAUCUAGCCAUGGGCAGGUUGAAGGUUGGGUAACACUAACUGGAGGACCGAACCGACUAAUGUUGAAAAAUUAGCGGAUGACUUGUGGCUGGGGGUGAAAGGCCAAUCAAACCGGGAGAUAGCUGGUUCUCCCCGAAAGCUAUUUAGGUAGCGCCUCGUGAAUUCAUCUCCGGGGGUAGAGCACUGUUUCGGCAAGGGGGUCAUCCCGACUUACCAACCCGAUGCAAACUGCGAAUACCGGAGAAUGUUAUCACGGGAGACACACGGCGGGUGCUAACGUCCGUCGUGAAGAGGGAAACAACCCAGACCGCCAGCUAAGGUCCCAAAGUCAUGGUUAAGUGGGAAACGAUGUGGGAAGGCCCAGACAGCCAGGAUGUUGGCUUAGAAGCAGCCAUCAUUUAAAGAAAGCGUAAUAGCUCACUGGUCGAGUCGGCCUGCGCGGAAGAUGUAACGGGGCUAAACCAUGCACCGAAGCUGCGGCAGCGACGCUUAUGCGUUGUUGGGUAGGGGAGCGUUCUGUAAGCCUGUGAAGGUGUACUGUGAGGUAUGCUGGAGGUAUCAGAAGUGCGAAUGCUGACAUAAGUAACGAUAAAGCGGGUGAAAAGCCCGCUCGCCGGAAGACCAAGGGUUCCUGUCCAACGUUAAUCGGGGCAGGGUGAGUCGACCCCUAAGGCGAGGCCGAAAGGCGUAGUCGAUGGGAAACAGGUUAAUAUUCCUGUACUUGGUGUUACUGCGAAGGGGGGACGGAGAAGGCUAUGUUGGCCGGGCGACGGUUGUCCCGGUUUAAGCGUGUAGGCUGGUUUUCCAGGCAAAUCCGGAAAAUCAAGGCCGAGGCGUGAUGACGAGGCACUACGGUGCUGAAGCAACAAAUGCCCUGCUUCCAGGAAAAGCCUCUAAGCAUCAGGUAACAUCAAAUCGUACCCCAAACCGACACAGGUGGUCAGGUAGAGAAUACCAAGGCGCUUGAGAGAACUCGGGUGAAGGAACUAGGCAAAAUGGUGCCGUAACUUCGGGAGAAGGCACGCUGAUACGUAGGUGAAGCGACUUGCUCGUGGAGCUGAAAUCAGUCGAAGAUACCAGCUGGCUGCAACUGUUUAUUAAAAACACAGCACUGUGCAAACACGAAAGUGGACGUAUACGGUGUGACGCCUGCCCGGUGCCGGAAGGUUAAUUGAUGGGGUUAGCGCAAGCGAAGCUCUUGAUCGAAGCCCCGGUAAACGGCGGCCGUAACUAUAACGGUCCUAAGGUAGCGAAAUUCCUUGUCGGGUAAGUUCCGACCUGCACGAAUGGCGUAAUGAUGGCCAGGCUGUCUCCACCCGAGACUCAGUGAAAUUGAACUCGCUGUGAAGAUGCAGUGUACCCGCGGCAAGACGGAAAGACCCCGUGAACCUUUACUAUAGCUUGACACUGAACAUUGAGCCUUGAUGUGUAGGAUAGGUGGGAGGCUUUGAAGUGUGGACGCCAGUCUGCAUGGAGCCGACCUUGAAAUACCACCCUUUAAUGUUUGAUGUUCUAACGUGGACCCGUGAUCCGGGUUGCGGACAGUGUCUGGUGGGUAGUUUGACUGGGGCGGUCUCCUCCUAAAGAGUAACGGAGGAGCACGAAGGUUGGCUAAUCCUGGUCGGACAUCAGGAGGUUAGUGCAAUGGCAUAAGCCAGCUUGACUGCGAGCGUGACGGCGCGAGCAGGUGCGAAAGCAGGUCAUAGUGAUCCGGUGGUUCUGAAUGGAAGGGCCAUCGCUCAACGGAUAAAAGGUACUCCGGGGAUAACAGGCUGAUACCGCCCAAGAGUUCAUAUCGACGGCGGUGUUUGGCACCUCGAUGUCGGCUCAUCACAUCCUGGGGCUGAAGUAGGUCCCAAGGGUAUGGCUGUUCGCCAUUUAAAGUGGUACGCGAGCUGGGUUUAGAACGUCGUGAGACAGUUCGGUCCCUAUCUGCCGUGGGCGCUGGAGAACUGAGGGGGGCUGCUCCUAGUACGAGAGGACCGGAGUGGACGCAUCACUGGUGUUCGGGUUGUCAUGCCAAUGGCACUGCCCGGUAGCUAAAUGCGGAAGAGAUAAGUGCUGAAAGCAUCUAAGCACGAAACUUGCCCCGAGAUGAGUUCUCCCUGACCCUUUAAGGGUCCUGAAGGAACGUUGAAGACGACGACGUUGAUAGGCCGGGUGUGUAAGCGCAGCGAUGCGUUGAGCUAACCGGUACUAAUGAACCGUGAGGCUUAACCUU